AGUGUUUGAUCCUGGCUCAGAACGAACGCUGGCGGCAGGCCUAACACAUGCAAGUCGAGCGAGAACGGUAGCUUCGGCUACUUAUUAGAGCGGCGAACGGGUGAGUAACACGUGAGUAACCUGCCCCGUAGUCUGGGAUAACAGUUCGAAAGGACUGCUAAUACCUGAUAAGCCCCCGCGACUGCGGUCGAGUGGGGAAAAGGGGGGGAUCCUUCGGGACCUCUCGCUAUGGGAUGGGCUCGCGGCCCAUUAGGUAGUUGGUGGGGUAAAGGCCCACCAAGCCUGCGAUGGGUAGCUGGUUUGAGAGAGCGAUCAGCCACACUGGAACUGAGACACGGUCCAGACUCCUACGGGAGGCAGCAGUGGGGAAUCUUGCGCAAUGGGCGAAAGCCUGACGCAGCCAUGCCGCGUGGGUGACGAAGGCCUUCGGGUUGUAAAGCCCUGUUGAGGGGGGCGAAAGUGUUGGUGGCCAAUACCCACCGGCCCUGACGGUACCCCUUUAACAAGCACCGGCUAACUCCGUGCCAGCAGCCGCGGCAAUACGGAGGGUGCGAGCGUUGUUCGGAAUUACUGGGCGUAAAGCACGUGUAGGCGGUAGUGUAAGUCGGGUGUGAAAGCCCUGGGCUCAACCGAGGAAUUGCGCUCGAAACUACACUGCUGGAGUACGGGAGAGGGAUGUGGAAUUCCUGGUGUAGAGGUGAAAUUCGUAGAUAUCAGGAGGAACACCCGUGGCGAAGGCGACAUCCUGGACCGAUACUGACGCUGAGACGCGAAAGCGUGGGGAGCAAACAGGAUUAGAUACCCUGGUAGUCCACGCCGUAAACGAUGGGCACUAGGUGCAGCGGGUAUGACCCCUGCUGUGCCGCAGUUAACGCAUUAAGUGCCCCGCCUGGGGAGUACGGCCGCAAGGCUAAAACUCAAAGGAAUUGACGGGGGCCCGCACAAACGGUGGAGCAUGUGGUUUAAUUCGAAGCAACGCGAAGAACCUUACCUGGGCUUGACAUCCCUCGAAUCUGUCAGAGAUGACGGAGUGCCCUUCGGGGAGCGGGGUGACAGGUGCUGCAUGGCUGUCGUCAGCUCGUGUCGUGAGAUGUUGGGUUAAGUCCCGCAACGAGCGCAACCCUCGUCCUUAGUUGCCAUCAUUAAGUUGGGCACUUUAAGGAGACUGCCGGUGUCAAACCGGAGGAAGGUGGGGAUGACGUCAAGUCCUCAUGGCCCUUAUGUCCAGGGCUACACACGUGCUACAAUGGGCGGUACAAUGAGUCGCAAAACCGCGAGGU
rnacentral:rRNA from 1 species